UUUUGCUCUACUUAGUGACGGGAAGAGGAGCUUAUUAACAGGUCAAAUCACAGGUUUUUCUUGCUCUAGAUCUAGGUUAUGCUUAUGUCUUUCAAUCUGUUGUUGUAGGUCAUGAUAAUUUUAGACUCGUGCUUUAUCGGAAGGAUAAUUCGUGAGACCCAGUUGAAAGAAGGCCAGUUGACUUGGGCGAUCAUCAAUCAUCAUAGUUGUUUUCGAUGGAUUCGUUGGUGUUUAAGCGUUGAUGCUGUGUUUGCUUGAACACCCAAUGAAGCUACGGUGGUAUAUGCUAAUACUUUUCAGACGAUCUUCGGUUUGUUUUCUUGUGAAAUUAUGGAAUUAUCUUUUUAAAUAUAUAUUUUUAGUAUCUCUGUUGUGAUUCAAGAUUUGUUUUUGUGGAUCUUUGUUUACAAAGAUCUGUGUUCUAAUUAUUUGUUGAUUGUAGAAAGCAAUUCACUGAAUUAUGGGACUCGUGCACGCCUUCAUCAAUGAGAAAUAUGGCAUGAAGCUGAGUUGAAGGAUAAAUGUGAGAAGUUUUUGAAGAUAUUAAAGAUGAUGCUGGACUUGCGAUUAUAUAUCUUCCAUUCUAUUAGAUAUGGCAGUUUAAGGGUGGUGUUCUAGAUGAUCUUUUGUGUCCCUCAGACCUUUGCCAUGUCAGGUGCGCUUGCUUGGCAGGUCAAUGAAUGAUAUAAUAAAAGUGUCUUUUUUUUUUUGUGAGGGGAGAUUGCAUGGGGAUUGCCCAGGGUCUCUGCCUUCACCGUGUUUGUUUGUGUGUGUGUGUGUGUGUUUUCUUCUGCGUCUCUUCUUUUUCCAUCUUACUGCCCUGCGAAUCUGAUCAACAUUCACUAGCACCAUCGGCAUGCAUUCACUCUCCAAUUGCAUACAGAUAAGAUAAAUUUUAACGCCAUCAUGCUUCAAUAUCUGAAAGGUAAUAACAUUUAACAUCGUACGAUUCUAAAUCAAAUACAUUAACCCAUUAAUAUCUCUUAUAACGAUGUUGAAUUAUGUUGUAUAUUAAGAGUUCGAUCUUCUAAAUCAAGAUUUCUGUGUGUUGGUAUAAGAUUACCUCCACUUGGUUCCAUUGGUGGUAUAAUCCUCUCAAAAACUUGUCAAUCCUAUUAUAAGUUGUAAAUGAACAAGCUUGAAAAGAAUUCCUUUAAUAAGAAUAUAAUUGGAAAUUGUUAUA